rnacentral:lncRNA from 1 species
CUUUGUUGUUUUGUUGUGACCGAUCGCUAUUUCUAUUGUCUCUCUUGUUAAUCACUCUCUCUCUUCACUCCUGUACCAAACACUCUCCUUCACUUCUAUAAGCUGGUGAAGAAGAUGCAAUAUGCAUUCAUUUAUAUUUAUGACUACGUACUAUACUCUAUUACACAUGUUAGGGCGGUUAUAUAGUUCGUCAUUUAUUAUUUAUAAUUUAAAUUUCAUAUUAUUUUAUUAGUAUUUUAAUAUUCAUGAAUUAAAGUUUAAUUAAGGUUCUAAACACAAACGCACUACACUACAUACUAUCAUCACAAACAUUCCCGCCAUCUAUUCACAAAUAUGCAGCCCAAAGUCACGUUGUACAUGCAUCACCGGUGGAAGUUCGUGGAGCAGCGCGGAAUCAAAUUCUUUUUAUCGUAGGUAAGGUCGAGAACGUUUUCAAUCAAAAGUUAAAUGUGUUAUCUAUUCCCAUGCUUAGAAAAUACGUUCGAAGUGAUCUUGGUUACAUAGGGUUUAAACUUUACUGGCACAAGAGUGGUUUUUUGUUUAACGAUGUUAAUUGUUAAUUGCUCUGGGAUGAUAGUGGUAUAUAGGAGCUGAAAAAACUUGCGCUUGAGUCUGGUAGAAUAGAUGUGUAUGUUGAUCAUGCCUCUGAUGGUGAUGAGUAGAGGAGAGUGCUGGAGAGAGUGAGAAAGAUGAUGGGAGGGAGGAGAGUGCUGGAGAGGGUGAAAAAAAUGAUGGAAGUGAAGAUAGUGAUGAUGAAGAGAGUGAGAAUGUUGAUGGGAGUCAAGAGAGUGUAGAGGAAGACAGUGAUGGGAGUGAAGAUUAUCAUGUGUAUGGCAGUGACUGUGAUGAUGAAUGGGAAAAAGGGCAGACCAUCAAAAGUAAAAAAUGUGCAGGUAAUGGAACCACCAGCAAAGGUACUACCAGUUAGUGUUGAUGUGUACACAAGUACUAAAGAUGGAAAUACAUACUUCUUAAGUGUUGGUGGGUCCACAGUUAAAAUUUCAAGUUCAAAGCCACCACCACCCAAGCCA